GAGGCUGUCGCCCUGCUGCCAAGACAUUUCUGGAGCUUUCGAGUAAAUAAAUCUCCCGCGUUAUUCGGGGAAAUUUAGAAAAUUCAUACAGUCAGAGCAGUGAACUGAGGCUUUUCGAAAAACGUGACCCGUCACUGUAAUGAUGCGAGAGAGGCGAUCCUCUUCCUGGUUGCGCGGCUGCGAAAAAACUGUUUGAAGCUUCAGGAGAGUUGGUGUGUUGGUGCCAGAGAUGUGUGCGCUGAGCUGGAACAACCCUCUAUUUGCACUGCUGAACAUGGAAGGAUUCAGGAAGCCUGAGGAGUCCAGCCUCUUACCUGGUAAGGAGGUGGCGGCUCCAGGUCCGGAUCAGUGCCGUCGCCGAAGCUGGCUCUGUCUGACUGCGACUCGUGGAGCAAAGAGAUGUCAUCCGAA